rnacentral:misc_RNA from 1 species
GUUUUAAAAAAAAAACUGGGACAUUGCUACAAGUAAAAAUUGAAAAAAAAAAAUCUGUAAAUGUAUGACUUUUGCUUUUGCUAUUAGCAAAAGUAAAAAAGAUAUAUUCUUUUAUAUUUUUACCAAGUUGGUGAAGGAAAUACAUUGGUGAUGGUAGUGGUAGCAGAGUAGUGUUAUUAAACCCGGCCUGGAGGUUGACUCGACGAAGGGACUGGGUGAAUGGGUCAGUGGUUCAACCAGUGAGCCAAUGAUUUAAUCAGUG